GGUAGUAUAGCUCAGUUGGCAGAGCGAGGGACUCAUAACCCCUAGGUCGACAGUUCGAAUCUGUUUACUACCACC
rnacentral:tRNA from 1 species